GAGCAUCAGUAUGGUGCAAGG
rnacentral:siRNA from 1 species